rnacentral:misc_RNA from 1 species
UAUAGAUUUUAUAGGCACAACAUUCUAUUAACAUACAUUGGGGUAAAUGAUAAAGCAACAUAGACCUGAAAGGUCUACAAAAGGUGCACAGGUGGAGAUAUAAAGAUGACAAGGUGUGCCAGCAGCAACCCAUCAGUUUAUUUCAAUAAUGAUCCUUCCGCAGGUUCACCUACGGAAA